rnacentral:rRNA from 1 species
GACGAACGUUGGCGGCGUGCUUAACACAUGCAAGUCGAACGGAAAGGCCCUGCUUUUGUGGGGUGCUCGAGUGGCGAACGGGUGAGUAACACGUGAGUAACCUGCCCUUGACUUUGGGAUAACUUCAGGAAACUGGGGCUAAUACCGGAUAGGAGCUCCUGCUGCAUGGUGGGGGUUGGAAAGUUUCGGCGGUUGGGGAUGGACUCGCGGCUUAUCAGCUUGUUGGUGGGGUAGUGGCUUACCAAGGCUUUGACGGGUAGCCGGCCUGAGAGGGUGACCGGCCACAUUGGGACUGAGAUACGGCCCAGACUCCUACGGGAGGCAGCAGUGGGGAAUAUUGCACAAUGGGCGGAAGCCUGAUGCAGCAACGCCGCGUGCGGGAUGACGGCCUUCGGGUUGUAAACCGCUUUCGCCUGUGACGAAGCGUGAGUGACGGUAAUGGGUAAAGAAGCACCGGCUAACUACGUGCCAGCAGCCGCGGUGAUACGUAGGGUGCGAGCGUUGUCCGGAUUUAUUGGGCGUAAAGGGCUCGUAGGUGGUUGAUCGCGUCGGAAGUGUAAUCUUGGGGCUUAACCCUGAGCGUGCUUUCGAUACGGGUUGACUUGAGGAAGGUAGGGGAGAAUGGAAUUCCUGGUGGAGCGGUGGAAUGCGCAGAUAUCAGGAGGAACACCAGUGGCGAAGGCGGUUCUCUGGGCCUUUCCUGACGCUGAGGAGCGAAAGCGUGGGGAGCGAACAGGCUUAGAUACCCUGGUAGUCCACGCUGUAAACGGUGGGUACUAGGUGUGGGGUCCAUUCCACGGGUUCCGUGCCGUAGCUAACGCUUUAAGUACCCCGCCUGGGGAGUACGGCCGCAAGGCUAAAACUCAAAGGAAUUGACGGGGCCCCGCACAAGCGGCGGAGCAUGCGGAUUAAUUCGAUGCAACGCGUAGAACCUUACCUGGGUUUGACAUGGAUCGGGAGUGCUCAGAGAUGGGUGUGCCUCUUUUGGGGUCGGUUCACAGGUGGUGCAUGCCUGUCGUCAGCUCGUGUCGUGAGAUGUUGGGUUAAGUCCCGCAACGAGCGCAACCCUUGUUCACUGUUGCCAGCACGUUAUGGUGGGGACUCAGUGGAGACCGCCGGGGUCAACCCGGAGGAAGGUGGGGAUGACGUCAAGUCAUCAUGCCCCUUAUGUCCAGGGCUUCACGCAUGCUACAAUGGCUGGUACAGAGAGUGGCGAGCCUGUGAGGGUGAGCGAAUCUCGGAAAGCCGGUCUCAGUUCGGAUUGGGGUCUGCAACUCGACCUCAUGAAGUCGGAGUCGCUAGUAAUCGCAGAUCAGCAACGCUGCGGUGAAUACGUUCCCGGGGCU